UCGAGCGGCAGCGCGGUCUUCGGACUGGCGGCGAGCGGCGGACGGCUGAGUAACGCGUGGGAACGUACCCCAAAGUGAGGAAUAACCGCCCGAAAGGGUGGCUAAUGCCGCAUAUGAUCUUCGGAUUAAAGGAUUUAUCCGCUUUGGGAACGGCCUGCGUAUGAUUAGAUAGUUGGUGAGGUAAAGGCUCACCAAGUCUACGAUCAUUAACUGGUCUGAGAGGAUGAUCAGUCAGACUGGAACUGAGAUACGGUCCAGACUCCUACGGGAGGCAGCAGUGAGGAAUCUUCCACAAUGGGCGAAAGCCUGAUGGAGCAACGCCGCGUGCAGGAUGAAGGCCCUAGGGUCGUAAACUGCUUUUAUAAGUGAAGAAUAUGACGGUAACUUAUGAAUAAGCACCGGCUAACUACGUGCCAGCAGCCGCGGUCAUACGUAGGGUGCAAGCAUUAUCCGGAGUGACUGGGCGUAAAGAGUUGCGUAGGUGGUUUGUUAAGUGAAUAGUGAAAUCUGGUGGCUCAACCACACAGACUAUUAUUCAAACUGGCAAACUCGAGAGUAGCAGAGGUAACUGGAAUUUCUAGUGUAGGAGUGAAAUCCGUAGAUAUUAGAAGGAACACCAAUGGCGUAGGCAGGUUACUAGGCUAUUUCUGACACUGAGGCACGAAAGCGUGGGGAGCGAACCGGAUUAGAUACCCGGGUAGUCCACGCCGUAAACGAUGGAUACUAGCUGUUGGAGGUAUCGACCCCUUCAGUAGCGAAGCUAACGCGUUAAGUAUCCCGCCUGUGGAGUACGGUCGCAAGACUAAAACAUAAAGGAAUUGACGGGGACCCGCACAAGCGGUGGAGCGUGUUCUUUAAU
rnacentral:rRNA from 1 species